UNGCAGUGGCGCUUGCCGAAAACCUUCAGG
rnacentral:piRNA from 1 species